UGGCUGUGGGCUCACUGCACAGAGCUGUGAAACACUAGCAUCCAUCCUCUGCAAAGAAUCAUCAAAGCUCAGAAAACUGGAUCUUAGUGACAACUGCAUUGGAGACAAAGGCGUCGAGCAGCUGUGUAAUGGACUGAGGAAGUCAUAUGCCCUGAAAACUCUGAGGUUGUCAGACUGCGGUGUAAAAGAACAAGGAUAUGCUGCUCUGGCCACAGCUCUCAAAUCUAAACCCACACAACUGGAGGAACUGGACUUGAGGAGAAACAACCCUGGAGAUUCUGGAGUGAAGCUCCUCACUUCGGUACUGAGCAAUCACAAAUGCACACUAAGGUUGUUGAAAAGUGAUGCCUCAGAGAAAGCCCAUGGAUAUUUGAGUUCAGUUCUGGGUACAAGCCCCUUACUCCUGACUGA